rnacentral:rRNA from 1 species
UCUACCUAGUAGUACGGAAUAAUUGUUGGAAACGGCAACUAAUACCGUAUACGCCCUACGGGGGAAAAAUUUAUUGCUAUUAGAUGAGCCUAUAUUAGAUUAGCUAGUUGGUGGAGUAAUAGCCUACCAAGGCAAUGAUCUAUAGCUGAUCUGAGAGGAUGAUCAGCCACACUGGAACUGAGAUACGGUCCAGACUCCUACGGGAGGCAGCAGUGGGGAAUAUUGGACAAUGGGCGAAAGCCUGAUCCAGCCAUGCCGCAUGAGUGAAGAAGGCCUUUGGGUUGUAAAGCUCUUUUAGUGAGGAAGAUAAUGACGGUACUCACAGAAGAAGUCCUGGCUAACUCCGUGCCAGCAGCCGCGGUAAUACGGAGAGGGCUAGCGUUAUUCGGAAUUAUUGGGCGUAAAGGGCGCGUAGGCUGGUUAAUAAGUUAAAAGUGAAAUCCCGAGGCUUAACCUUGGAAUUGCUUUUAAAACUGUUAACCUAGAGAUUGAAAGAGGAUAGAGGAAUUCC